AGUGAACGCUGGCGGUAGGCCUAACACAUGCAAGUCGAACGGCAGCACAGGAGAGCUCGCUCUCUGGGUGGCGAGUGGCGGACGGGUGAGGAAUACAUCGGAAUCUACUCUGUCGUGGGGGAUAACGUAGGGAAACUUACGCUAAUACCGCAUACGACCUACGGGUGAACGCAGGGGACCUUCGGGCCUUGCGCGAUUGAAUGAGCCGAUGUCGGAUUAGCUAGUUGGCGGAGUAAAGGCCCACCAAGGCGACGAUCCGUAGCUGGUCUGAGAGGAUGAUCAGCCACACUGGAACUGAGACACGGUCCAGACUCCUACGGGAGGCAGCAGUGGGGAAUAUUGGACAAUGGGCGCAAGCCUGAUCCAGCCAUACCGCGUGGGUGAAGAAGGCCUUCGGGUUGUAAAGCCCUUUUGUUGGGAAAGAAAUCCAGCUGGCUAAUACCCGGUUGGGAUGACGGUACCCAAAGAAUAAGCACCGGCUAACUUCGUGCCAGCAGCCGCGGUAA
rnacentral:rRNA from 1 species